GUAAAGGCAGUGACGAGGAGUAGUAGCCUAUCCCUUCCCCUACAGAGAGCCGGUGGUUGGUGCAAACCGGUGAGGAAGCAGGUGAACUCGCCUCUGAGCCGUCGCGGUGAACAACGACCGUUUUAUUUCCUUUGGGGAGUGCGGCGUUGCUAGCUGCGGCCGUCGACCCGCGUAAAGGGUGAAAGAGGUCCGCCGCAGGCGGACGAAUGAGGGUGGUACCGCGGAAGCUUUUUGAAGCCUUCGCCCCUUGC
rnacentral:ncRNA from 1 species